rnacentral:lncRNA from 1 species
AAAAUUCCUAGUUAAACCUAAGACCCAAACGAACCCCUUCUCUCAUUUCCCUCAUCAAAUACGCCGCCCGUAAGUGAAUCAGCCAUUGUCGCCGGCGAAAUAGCUCUAAUCACCCAUAAAAUUUGGCCAUGCAACCAUCACCUCUCCCUGAACCCUAAUCAAUCACAAGUUUUUCCAAAGUUUUCGCCAAAUCAGACCUGUUUCAAAUCUAAAUGAAGGAGAAGAAAAUUUCUCGAGUCCUCAUAUCUGAUGAACGACUG